GAAGCGGGUACAUGAUACUAUGGCUCAGUGGUGGCCACUGGCAACUAUUUCGUCGUCGCACAGGUAACGACUUGUUCACGGUGCCUCACGCCGCACUGCCUUCAGACACACUCACUCCAAGGAUUGAUUUGCUGUGUUCACCUGACGCAUGGAAGUCGUGUGAAGAGAGCACGAGGCGUAUGAUCGGACUAACAAAAUCGGGGGUGUUGAGGUGCCAGGCUGUUUGUGGAAGUCCGGCUGUUGAUCUUAUCUCGCAAAGGAUGGUGAAAAAUUCGCUUACCCACUCAGUAUUCAACCCCCUCACACGCAUCCCACGCCCUCCCCACGCCGGCACGGACCCACGCCCCGACGCCACGCCACGCCCAUUCGGGAAUGUACCACGAGGUUUCCGAUGGUCAUGAGUCAGCGGGUAAUGGCCGCCGCCUGGCCAGGCCGUGACGGACGCUAAUAACGCCGCCGCUGUGUCCGGACAAGACGUACGGUGCCAUUCCCUUCGGUUCCGCAGGAGACUGAAGGCGCUGCUUGUCAUCCGCUUCUUUAUUGUUUCGGCUUCGUGACACGGGAAGAAUUACAAUUAAUAACUGCAAUUAUAAUGGCGAUGAAAAUGAUAAAUAAUGAUCAUCAUAAUAUC